UCUUUCUCUCUUUCAAUAUAGAGACACCAAGUUGGCCACUUGAGAAGACAGCGUGCAGGGAGAUUUCUGCUAAUGUCCUGCUGGGUGAAGAAUGCCUUUGGUUGAAGGCUGGCAUUAACUCUGUGACAGGUGCAUGGUGAACAAUGGAUAAAGUGCAUACGCUGAAUGAAAGAAUCAGCACCCAAGUCACACAGACCUUCACAGGCAUUGUACAGGUUGUGCCUUGUAAAAGGGUCCCCUGCAACAGGGGCUGUGUCUCCAGGAACUUGAAGUUAACAGAGUGAUCCUUGAAUUUGGAGUCAGAAUGUCUGGGUCCCAACGCGGGGCUCUGCCGUUACUAGCUGCCUCCUGGCGGUGGGGCAAGUCACUUAACAUCUUUGAGACUCUCCCCAUCUGCCACCUGAGAAGAGUCAGAUGUUAAGUCCACCUCACAAGGCUGUUGUCGGGAUCGGAUCUGACAUGGCGCGUGAAAGGAUUUUGUACUCAAAGAGGCAUUUUCCAAAUGUGAGCUGUUGUUAUUCUUGCCUUCUUUAAGGGUCGCAGCAAAGAACAUUGCCUGUUUGAGAAAAUGUCAUCUUCCAUCCAACGGUGAUUCAUAAAAGACAGACUCCCUGACCAAAUGGAUGUGGAAGAGGUGUAGUUCCAACAAACUCAAUCAUGGUUAUGCAGAAAUUGCUUCUGGGGACGGUGGGUGACUCUUGUCCCAUUCCCGGAAGUCUUGGACCUUGCCGAGCCCGUCCCCUGCACUCCCUGUGCAGGGACAUCCCCCCCCCCCCAGGGUCCAGCUUUUAUCUCCGAUAAAUAAAGGCAUGCUGAUGGGAUAACGGAUG